GAUGAACGCUGGCGGCGUGCUUAACACAUGCAAGUCGAACGGAAAGGCUCCUGCUUGCAGGGGUACUCGAGUGGCGAACGGGUGAGUAACACGUGGGUGAUCUGCCCUGCACUUCGGGUUAAGCCUGGGAAACUGGGUCUAAUACCGGAUAGGACCACAUUUUGGAUGGUGUGGUGGAAAGUUUUUCGGUGUGGGAUGAGCUCGCGGCCUAUCAGCUUGUUGGUGGGGUAAUGGCCUACCAAGGCGUCGACGGGUAGCCGGCCUGAGAGGGUGUACGGCCACAUUGGGACUGAGAUACGGCCCAGACUCCUACGGGAGGCAGCAGUGGGGAAUAUUGCACAAUGGGCGCAAGCCUGAUGCAGCGACGCCGCGUGGGGGAUGACGGCCUUCGGGUUGUAAACUCCUUUCGCUAGGGACGAAGCGCAAGUGACGGUACCUGGAGAAGAAGCACCGGCUAACUACGUG
rnacentral:rRNA from 1 species